GAUGAACGCUGGCGGCGUGCCUAAUACAUGCAAGUCGAGCGAACAGAUGAGGAGCUUGCUCCUCUGACGUUAGCGGCGGACGGGUGAGUAACACGUGGAUAACCUACCUAUAAGACUGGGAUAACUUCGGGAAACCGGAGCUAAUACCGGAUAAUAUAUUGAACCGCAUGGUUCAAUAGUGAAAGACGGUUUUGCUGUCACUUAUAGAUGGAUCCGCGCCGCAUAAGCUAGUUGGUAAGGUAACGGCUUACCAAGGCAACGAUGCGUAGCCGACCUGAGAGGGUGAUCGAGCAAACUGAAACUGAGACGGGAUCCAGACUCCUACGAGAGGCAGCAGUAGCGAAUCUUCCGGAAUGGGCGAAAGCCUGACGGAGCAGCACGCCGUGAGUGAUGCAGGUAUUCGGAUCGUAAACCUCUGUUAUUAGGGAAGAACAAAUGUGUAAGUAACUAUGCACGUUUUGACAGUACCUAAUCAGAGAGCCACGGCUAACUGCGGG
rnacentral:rRNA from 1 species